AACCUCCGCAAUGUGAGAAAUCGCGACGGGGGGAUCCCAAGUGCCAUUCUUAACGGGAUGGCUUUUCAUUAGUGUAAAGAGCUUUUGGAAUAAGAGCUGGGCAAGACCGGUGCCAGCCGCCGCGGUAACACCGGCAGCUCUAGUGGUAGCAAUUUUUAUUGGGCCUAAAGCGUCCGUAACCGGUUUAAUAAGUCUCUGGUGAAAUCCUGCAGCUUAACUGUGGGAAUUGCUGGAGAUACUAUUAGACUUGAGAUCGGGAGAGGUUAGAGGUACUCCCAGGGUAGAGGUGAAAUUCUGUAAUCCUGGGAGGACCGCCUGUUGCGAAGGCGUCUAACUGGAACGGUUCUGACGGUGAGGGACGAAAGUUAGGGGCGCGAACCGGAUUAGAUACCCGGGUAGUCCUAACUGUAAACGAUGCGGACUUGGUGUUGGGUGGCUUUGAGCUGCUCCAGUGCCGAAGGGAAGCUGUUAAGUCCGCCGCCUGGGAAGUACGGUCGCAAGACUGAAACUUAAAGGAAUU
rnacentral:rRNA from 1 species